AUCCAGCUGACGAGUCCUAAAUGGUAGGAAAUGCUCAUCCUGGAU
rnacentral:hammerhead_ribozyme from 1 species